CUGGUUUAUGUUUCACGUAUGUUCUACCUAUGACUAUAUGAUUUUGGGCUGACUUGUAUACAUGAUUUAUUUUUCGUUGAGCUUAUUGCGUUCUUUCGACGUACUUUCCCGAACGUGAAGAUUUUGAGCCACGCAGAGAGGUCUUUGAGAACUGGGUCGAGUAUCUGGAUAUUUCGAAUCGUCAACUAAUGAACCUGCACGCUUUUGGGAACGGAAAUCGAGCCGGAAGUAAGCACUUGCGAUUGCUCGUUAACCGGUUUUGUAAUGCUGAAUUAAAUGGUGCUACCUCUCACUAUAAAACUAUCAUGGGCUUUUACCAUGAAGACCUUGCCCUGGACAACGCCCAGUUCACCCCACGUUUGGAGUAUUUGCCAUCGGCUAAAAAAAACGACUAGCGGGUGGUCCGUUUGGCCAUUGAAUUCUAAAGGUUCAUGGACGUUGCUCUGAAAGAAUGGACCAAUUGGGAAAUUAAAAGUACCCAGAAUGUAGCAAUCAUCUUUCUAUGAAACCACUGCAGUGCAGUAGAUGAGUACCACCCACAUUAUAUGCAAUUUCAAAUUCUAAGGAAUUCUAGUACAAUGGUAAACUGUUAUCCAAGUUAGUUAUGUUUCUGGAAUGUGAAAUUUUCUUAAAUUAUGGAAGAAAUAAGUUCAUAUAGGGAUCCAGGUGUACAGCGAAGUAAUUAGGAGUAUGUUACAAUAUGUCUAAAUGACUGUCGAAGGAUGUGCUUAAUGUCUUCGCAAGACACAAAUGGCAUCAGACAAUAAUCUCAAUGAUGUGCCAAGAAAUUCUCAUACAUCAUUGUUUACACUAAUCUCUGCCAUCCUACAAAAGGAAAUGUUUCACUUGAUUUCUGAGCUUUCGUGUCUUGAACACUUUUACUGUUUCCUUUCAUUUGUCAUUGCUUGCAGAAACUAAUUAUUUAUUUCCUACUGAUGAGUUAUCAGUGGAUACAUGAACAAGUGAAGUAAUUAUACUGAGUUAAAUUGUGAGUCGAUAAUUAAGUUACCAACUGAAUGGUCAAGACUGUAACCUCAUUCUAAUGAUAUAUUAUUAUAUAUAAUUACAUUGUCCUUAAUAUCUUGGUACAAUGUUCUAGGUCCCCUUAAGGAUAGUGAACGUGCCACGCGCCUAUUUUAUUUUACCUUAAGCACCUUUUUUUUUAUAUAUUCACGCUCAUUCUACAAUUAGGCCUAACGACAAUAGUCGAAUUAAGCAACAGUACGACAGUGCGGAACUUGCUGAUGUCGAGGUCAUAAAUUGAUAUUUGAAGCUCAUACAAAUAUCUCAUAGGUGCGUAACAGUUGAAUCAUUGUACGUGUAUUAAUGGCAAUAGUUAACCGUGUGAUAUUUUGCGUAUGACGUUUAACGUUAUCGCAGAUCAACUUUGCCUUACAAAAAUUGCUCAGUAUUAGUCACAGUGAUGAUAGGAUGAUUGGAAUCGAUAAAAAAAGAUAUUAGUAAGCGAAUUUCGUACACGCAACUGACGAUAUGUCAAUGUGCUCUUUAGCAUUGUCUAGUGGAAUUUUUGAGUCGUGGGCGUCGAUUAGUGCACGUAUUGAAUUGGCACGGUCGUAAGGUCAAUCCUGUUACUUCCUAAAGGCAAAUUCUCAUUCGAUUCUUUGCUGUCCCUUGAUUACAUAGCAAAUAAAAUGACAGGGGCCUUGAUUUCGCGUGAGAAAGUCAAUUCGAGUGCUUUGUCCAUAUACUGAUGAUAUUUCUAGACAUUUUUUUGUAAUUAUUUUUUUUGAAACUUACAUCACAGUGCAACUCUGUAACAGCAUCCUGUUCUAUACGGCAAUACUAAGGAAGUCAUAAUAAAUUUUAGCACUUCGACUAAUGCGCGAUAUCGCCUUGUCGACACUUUCGACCAUGGAAACGAGUCACAGGCACGUCUAGUAUUUUUAUUGAACAGAAGAAAGUUCCACACAAAAAACCAAGAACAAGAACUGGCAGCUGCUCACACUCCCACGACUUCGCUAUUGGCGUUAGAGCACAGUUAGCAAACGAGAGCACCAUGAAGUUUUUUCGUUCGCUAAGUCGGUUCUUCCUUUGAUUCACGUAGUGGAAUAGAUAGGUGUACUCGAAUAAUUUGCGUUUGGCAAUUAAAAUUCUUAAUUGUACUAUUUCCCUCGUUAGGGAGACCUAAUAACGAAAAGGUAGUAGAAAGCGAAUUUACGGGUUAGAAAAAUUGCAUCUGCUCUUUGGCAGCCUUGGAUCAAAUCAAGCAAUAGCCAAGAUCGUCAUUGUGAUUCCAUUACGAAAUUCAACCACGAAGACAGCCAUUUCGUCGGUGACAGUACACUGGCAAUACCACAAGCAAUACCUGGUUAACCGAUGACAGUCAUCCAAGUACCAAUUCCUAUUACGAAAUUGACCUCAAUUCCCAAUUUCUGUACUUCAACCAUCGAACUCGUCAAUCAGUCUUUUUCCUGUAGUUGAUAUCGUCACUGUGAUCGCUGAUAGGAACUAAUUUAAUUAUUACGCUUUGUUUCCAGACCGGAAGUUGCGUGUCUACCUUGAAUGUGAAAAAUUCCCGACUCUCCUAUGAUUGCCCAUAGUAAAUAUUUCUACUAAAAUUCUUUCACCUAACACCAGCCGUGAUGGCUUGUUAGAGCAGAAAAAAUUUGUUACAGUCAUUACUUGUAAAUAUCUCACAUGUCGUACAAAUACCGUUAUAUCAUUUGAAUUUUACGAUUCCAACGUUUUACGGAAACGCGUUCCACUUUCACGACGUUCGUUCGACGUGCGUCGCCGAGCGUCGGGACGCUCGCGUGUUUACCUGGCAACGUGAGAAUUUCGCAAAGUCCUAUUGAAACUUUGCAAAUCGCUUAACCAGAAAACAGAUCCUUCUUGGAAUAACCUAACAUAACCAUAGUCGUAAACAACCAUAAGAGGCAUUUAUAUAUAAACGAAUUUCACGAGCGUGUAAAUCGUAUCUUCUUCCUUGGACUGAUCUUACACGUGGAUAACAUUAUAUUCCUAUGUAAAGAGACUUUAUCUUCACUUCAAUCAACGAUCUUGACUAUCGCUACGUUGAGCUUCGUUCAGAGUCAAAUAGAGACGUUUUAGCUACUAUAAUCAUCUAACGAUAGAGCAAUGAACGACUAUUUGCAUUUGCUACUCGAACGAGCUGUGUAAACCUGGCGAAACGUACAAUUUUCCGUAAAUUGCACAAGAGUCGCUGGAUUAAGAGAAAAUAAAAUUUAUCACGAUGAAUUUGCGGCAUUACACGGUAUACGUACAGUUAGUUUCGGUAUAAAUAAUGAAAGAUAUGUAUUAGUGAAAAAAAGGUUCUAAUUCAUUUUCAAUUUCAAAUUUAAGUUAAUUAAAUUACUUAUUGCCCGAAAAAAUUUUACGUCCCACCAGCAAACGGUUGUAGCGACUCAAUAAUUUCUGAAAGUUGUUUCCGACAUAUUGUUAGUUUAACCACAGGGUGUCUCUUGGCAUAUAAAAAGAUCGCUCGUGCGCUCGUACGAGUAAUAGCGAAUAAGUAUAGUCGAUACGAAUAGUUAGCAGCUAUCUACUAUGUUAUACCUGUAUAUCUAUAUGUCCUGUAAGAUAGGUCGGAUUCUGCUCGUUCAAAUGGAGGCUCGUUUCUCCUAUCUGUUAAUCAGAGUCUUAUGGUAACAUGUACUGUAUAUGCGUAUAUAGCAACGCACUGUUCUCGUACUGGAGAUUUGUAUAUCAUAGGUAUAGAUAUAACGCACGCUAAUCCACAAGCCUGUUGGAUCGAACGGAACGGAACCACUUUUACACCGCAUUCUUGGCAUUGAGGUGUCUUUCGAACCACGCCUUCUCUUGCUCUCCGCUGUUCCGUGGGUGUGGUAUUACUGCGAGUUUGUAUGACGUGUGCCUUGUAUAUUUUACGAGCGAUAAAACCUAAUAACAAAAGAAUAUUAGGACAUAAGAAGUAGAGCCUUAUGCGUCUAUGAAAAUCGAGAGAAUGUUGCUGGAGAGUGGAUGCUGUUGAAAUAUGUAAUUUCUUGUGUGAAGAAGAAGAAAAAAAAAAGGAAAAAGAAAAAUUGUUAAUUUUCAUUUGCUUGCUGCGAAAUAGCAGGAAAUUUUUUUAUUAUGCAAAGAAUGUAUUGUCGCACUGUGCAUUGUCACGUGGUAUAAUAAAUUUUAUCGGGAGAUAAAUUAUAAGAGAAAAAUAUUCUUUAAGAUUUUAUAUAUAUAUGGAAUUUCCAUUGAAAUAAUUAUUAAACGAACACUUUUAGUUAUUAAUUAGUCAUUUAUUCGUGGUAUUAUCAUUUUGAUUGAUAAUGAAUUAAUUAAGCUAAGGUCAAACUGUUUUUAAGUGUAUGCGGAAUGCGAACUUGAACUAUUGAAGGAUCGAUGUGCGAGUACGAGAUAAUUUAGGGAUAUUUUUUAAUUCGUUAAUUAAGCCUUGUUGGAUAUCAAGGUAAAUCAAUUAAGAAAUCGUUAAUUAUUCUAGUGGCAAUGAUUCUAAUAAGUGUUAGAUACCGAUCGACAGCCAUCAAUAUUGUCAAUGUAUUCAAUAGGUUUAAGCGGCGGCGAUUCCUGCCUUCAACUUAUAUGAUUAUUAAAAAUUUUUGUGAUAUCCAUAAUUCGAUAUGUAUCGAUAUAUCGAUCUGCGAUAUCGCGAAUCGCGAGCGAGGUCGUUUUCUACCGAAAUUUUUGAACGGUCAGAUAUUGAAAGGCGACCGGACAACGUCUCUUACGUUCACUUUGAAAUUGGUUUUGUAUACUUUCCAUUUUAAGGUAAUGGAUAAGCGCUAUUGGCUAUUAUUCGUUACUCCUAAUGGACUCUUUGGUAAUUGAUUAUUCUGUACUAAUGGAUAGGUAAAGCUCGUUCGUGUUUGUCGAUUUGCUUGUUUUUAUUCUUGUAUCUUGUCAGCCUCCUAGUUACUGGUUUUACGUACAGUUUGUAAAUUGGAUAAUACGCUUUCGUAUUGGCUCUUAGAUCUUUUAUAUGAAUUCUUAACGUGGGUUAUACUUGAAUUUAGGGAUUUCGCAUUUUCUUAUUAUUUCAUUGUUGAGUGUAUUGGAGUAAAUUUAUAUAGUUGAUAUUAUAAUUAACAAUUUUUACCUUGUUUUGGAUAUUAAAUAUGGGAAACGUAUAAUGAAAAUUUAUUUAACUUUUUUUGGAUAAAUAUUACAAUUAAUAAUAACCUUA